rnacentral:lncRNA from 1 species
GACCCAGACGUAGACUUCCCCAACUCCUUUCACGCGUUCCAGACCGCGGAGGGCAUCCGAAAAGCCCACCCAGACAAGGUGGGCUGUUGUUGGAGACACUUUCCCCGUGGGCUGCCGUCCCCAGGCCUCCGUGGUGUUCUGCGACUCUACUUUCCAGGACAAUCCUGACCUCCAGGACCCUCGAUACAGCACAGAACUUGGCAUGUACCAGCCCCACUGUGGACUUGAGAAUGUCCUUAUGUCCUGGGGCCAUGAUGAGUACCUAUACCAGAUGAUGAAGUUCAACAAGUUCUCCCUACCUUCAGAGCAAGUUUGACCUCUACACCAAGUGCCCUGACCUACCGGAAGUGAAGAGCCUGCGGCCCUACUAUCAGGGGCUGAUUGACAAGUACUGCCCGGGCAUCCUGAGCUGGUGAAUGGUUUCUAAUACCUUCUCUCUCACUGCUGAGGGGCACCAAGGCUGGACAACUUCAGGGACAAUAAUAGCCCAUGCCACCUGUCCACAGUCCCCACCCAUCACAGUUGAGGUCACUUUUGCCUGGCUAUCAAUAAAGCAUAAAAGAGAUUAC